CUAACAAGGAUUCCUUAGUAACUGCGAGUGAAGAGGGAAAAGCUCAAAUUUAAAAUCUGGCAGUGUUUCACUGUCCGAGUUGUAACCUAGAGAAGUGUAACCUGCGCUGGACCGUGUAUAAGUCUCCUGGAAUGGAGCAUCACAGAGGGUGAGAAUCCCGUCUUUGACAUGGACUACCAGUGCAUUGUGGUUGCGCUCUCAACGAGUCGAGUUGUUUGGGAAUGCAGCUCUAAAUGGGUGGUAAAUUCCAUCUAAAGCUAAAUAUUGGCGAGAGACCGAUAGCGAACAAGUACCGUGAGGGAAAGAUGAAAAGAACUUUGGAAAGAGAGUUAAACAGUAUGUGAAAUUGUUGAAAGGGAAACGUUUGAAGUCAGUCGCGUUGGUUGGGGAUCAGCCUGACAUUGUUGGGUGUACUUCCUGGUCGACGGGCCAACAUCAGUUUUGACUGCCAGAAAAAGGCCAAAGGAAUGUGGCACCUUUGGGUGUGUUAUAGCCCUUGGUCGUAUAUGGUGGUUGGGACUGAGGAAAGCAGCGUGCCGAAAGGCCGGGUUUCGACCACGUUCACGCUGAGGAUGUUGGCAUAAUGGCUUUAAGCGACCCGUCUUGAAACACGGACCAAGGAGUCUAACAUGCAUGCGAGUGUUUGGGUGGAAAACCCUUACGCGUAAUGAAAGUGAAAGUUGAGAUCCCUGUCGCGGGGAGCAUCGACGCCCGGACCAGAACUUUUGGGACGGAUCUGCGGUAGAGCACGUAUGUUGGGACCCGAAAGAUGGUGAACUAUGCCUGAAUAGGGUGAAGCCAGAGGAAACUCUGGUGGAGGCUCGUAGCGAUUCUGACGUGCAAAUCGAUCGUCAAAUUUGGGUAUAGGGGCG
rnacentral:rRNA from 1 species